rnacentral:rRNA from 1 species
AACGAACGCUGGCGGCAGGCUUAACACAUGCAAGUCGAGCGCCCCGCAAGGGGAGCGGCAGACGGGUGAGUAACGCGUGGGAAUCUACCCAUCUCUACGGAAUAACGCAUGGAAACGUGUGCUAAUACCGUAUACGUCCUUCGGGAGAAAGAUUUAUCGGAGAUGGAUGAGCCCGCGUUGGAUUAGCUAGUUGGUGGGGUAAAGGCCUACCAAGGCGACGAUCCAUAGCUGGUCUGAGAGGAUGAUCAGCCACACUGGGACUGAGACACGGCCCAGACUCCUACGGGAGGCGGCAGUGGGGAAUAUUGGACAAUGGGCGCAAGCCUGAUCCAGCCAUGCCGCGUGAGUGAUGAGGGCCCUAGGGUUGUAAAGCUCUUUCACCGGUGAAGAUAAUGACGGUAACCGGAGAAGAAGCCCCGGCUAACUUCGUGUCAGCCGCCGCAGUAACAC